GACGAACGCUGGCGGCGUGCUUAACACAUGCAAGUCGAACGGAAAGGCCCUGCUUUUGUGGGGUGCUCGAGUGGCGAACGGGUGAGUAACACGUGAGUAACCUGCCCUUGACUUUGGGAUAACUUCAGGAAACUGGGGCUAAUACCGGAUAGGAGCUCCUGCUGCAUGGUGGGGGUUGGAAAGUUUCGGCGGUUGGGGAUGGACUCGCGGCUUAUCAGCUUGUUGGUGGGGUAGUGGCUUACCAAGGCUUUGACGGGUAGCCGGCCUGAGAGGGUGACCGGACACAUUGGGACUGAGAUACGGCACAGACUCGUACGGGAGGCAGCAGUGGGGAAUAUUGCACAAUGGGAGGAAGCCUGAUGCAGCAACGCCGCGUGCGGGAUGACGGCCUUCGGGUUGUAAACCGCUUUCGCCUGUGCCGAAGCGUGAGUGACGGUAAUGGGUAAAGAAGCACCGGCUAACUACGUG
rnacentral:rRNA from 1 species